UACGUAGGGUGCAAGCGUUAAUCGGAAUUACUGGGCGUAAAGCGUGCGCAGGCGGUUCGCUAAGACCGAUGUGAAAUCCCCGGGCUUAACCUGGGAACUGCAUUGGUGACUGGCGGGCUAGAGUAUGGCGGAGGGGGGUAGAAUUCCACGUGUAGCAGUGAAAUGCGUAGAGAUGUGGAGGAAUACCGAUGGCGAAGGCAGCCCCCUGGGCCAAUACUGACGCUCAUGCACGAAAGCGUGGGGAGCAAACAGG
rnacentral:rRNA from 1 species